AUUGAACGCUGGCGGCAUGCCUUACACAUGCAAGUCGAACGGCAGCACGGGAGCAAUCCUGGUGGCGAGUGGCGAACGGGUGAGUAAUACAUCGGAACGUGCCCAGUUGUGGGGGAUAGCCCGGCGAAAGCCGGAUUAAUACCGCAUACGACCUAUGGGUGAAAGCGGGGGAUCGCAAGACCUCGCGCUACUGGAGCGGCCGAUGUCGGAUUAGCUUGUGGUGGGGUAAAAGGCCUACCAAGGCAACGAUCCGUAGCUGGUCUGAGAGGACGACCAGCCACACUGGGACUGAGACACGGCCCAGACUCCUACGGGAGGCAGCAGUGGGGAAUUUUGGACAAUGGGCGCAAGCCUGAUCCAGCCAUGCCGCGUGCGGGAAGAAGGCCUGGUGUAACG
rnacentral:rRNA from 1 species